rnacentral:rRNA from 1 species
GACGAACGCUGGCGGCGUGCUCAACACAUGCAAGUCGAACGGAAAGGCCCUGCUUUUGUGGGGUGCUCGAGUGGCGAACGGGUGAGUAACACGUGAGUAACCUGCCCUUGACUUUGGGAUAACUUCAGGAAACUGGGGCUAAUACCGGAUAGGAGCUCCUGCUGCACGGUGGGGGUUGGAAAGUUUCGGCGGUUGGGGAUGGACUCGCGGCUUAUCAGCUUGUUGGUGGGGUAGUGGCUUACCAAGGCUUUGACGGGUAGCCGGCCUGAGAGGGUGACCGGCCACAUUGGGACUGAGAUACGGCCCAGACUCCUACGGGAGGCAGCAGUGGGGAAUAUUGCACAAUGGGCGGAAGCCUGAUGCAGCAACGCCGCGUGCGGGAUGACGGCCUUCGGGUUGUAAACCGCUUUCGCCUGUGACGAAGCGUGAGUGACGGUAAUGGGUAAAGAAGCACCGGCUAACUACGUG